UACGGAGGAUGCAAGCGUUAUCCGGAUUCAUUGGGUUUAAAGGGUGCGUAGGCGGGCUAUUAAGUCAGUGGUAAAAUCCUGCAGCUUAACUGCAGAACUGCCGUUGAUACUGAUAGUCUUGAGUUUGGUUAAGGUAGGCGGAAUGUGUAAUGUAGCGGUGAAAUGCUUAGAUAUUACACAGAACACCAAUUGCGUAGGCAGCUUACUGAGCCGACACUGACGCUGAGGCACGAAAGCGUGGGGAUCAAACAGGAUUA
rnacentral:rRNA from 1 species